CGAACGGCUCAGUAACACGUAGUCAACCUGCCCUCAGGUCGAGAACAAUCUCGGGAAACUGAGGCUAAUUCUCGAUAAAUCAAUAUUCCUGGAAUGGGUUUUGGUCGAAAGGGAGCAACAGCAUCUUGCUGUUUCGCCCGAGGAUGGGACUGCGGCCGAUCAGGCUGUUGGUGAGGUAAAGGCUCACCAAACCAGUAACCGGUACGGGCUUUAAGAGAAGGAGCCCGGAGAUGGACACUGAGACAAGGGUCCAGGUCCUACGGGGCGCAGCAGGCGCGAAACCUUCGCAAUGCGCGCAAGCGCGACGAGGUUAUUCCGAGUGAUUUCCGCUGAGGAAAUCUUUUCUUAGAUCUAAAAAGUCUGGGGAAUAAGGGGUGGGCAAGUCUGGUGUCAGCCGCCGCGGUAAUACCAGCACCUCGAGUGGUCAGGACGAUUAUUGGGCCUAAAGCAUCCGUAGCUGGUUUUGCAAGUCUCCGGUUAAAUCCACCUGCUUAACAGAUGGGCCGCUGGAGAUACUACAAGACUAGGGAGUGGGAGAGGCAGACGGUAUUCGGGGGGUAGGGGUAAAAUCAUUUGAUCCUUUCAGGACCACCACUGCCGAAGGCGGUCUGCCCCAACACAUUCGACAGUGAGGGAAGAAAGCAGGGGGAGCAAACC
rnacentral:rRNA from 1 species